rnacentral:ncRNA from 5 species
UGCUCGCCUGCCACGCGGGCGGCCCGGGU